AACGAACGCUGGCGGCAUGCCUAACACAUGCAAGUCGAACGGUAACGCAAGAAGCUUGCUCCUUGGCGACGAGUGGCGGACGGGUGAGUAAUGCUUGGGAAUCUACCCAGUAGUGGGGGACAACAUUCGGAAACGGAUGCUAAUACCGCAUACGCACUACGGUGGAAAGCGGGGGAUCUUCGGACCUCGCGCUAUUGGAUGAGCCCAAGUCGGAUUAGCUUGUUGGUAGGGUAAUGGCCUACCAAGGCGACGAUCCGUAGCUGGUCUGAGAGGACGAUCAGCCACACUGGGACUGAGACACGGCCCAGACUCCUACGGGAGGCAGCAGUGGGGAAUAUUGGACAAUGGGCGCAAGCCUGAUCCAGCAAUGCCGCGUGUGUGAAGAAGGCCUGCGGGUUGUAAAGCACUUUCAGUAGAGAAGAAAAGCCUAGGGUUAAUACCCCUGAGUCUUGACGUAACCUACAGAAGAAGCACCGGCUAACUCCGUG
rnacentral:rRNA from 1 species